rnacentral:rRNA from 2 species
CCUGUGAAACCUAAAAGUUCGAAAAGAGAGAUUCAACGUCAGUUUGUACAGUAUUGACGUGAGUAGUGAUGCUUUGAUACAUUGGUUGGAUCAACACUUCCAAUUGUAACUGGCACAUUUUCAUGUUAUUUUAUUGCUGAACUAACACCGGCGUGCACUUCUCUCUUAGUAGGACAUCCCGACCCAUUGAGUCUUAGCCUACGGCCCAAAUGGAUGCCUUUAAUAAUUUUUAUUAAAGUCCUUUGGUGUUCUCCUGGCCUAAGUGCUCGAUGGUAGUAAACGAUAUGGUGUUGAGCCGCAAAUUUUUUUUGCGUCCGGCCUUCCGCAAGUUUAUUGACGGGUUCCGUAUCACUUUAGACUUUGUGCUAAGUGUAUGGUCUCGUUGGCUGUUUGCAUGGUUGUGCUUUAGGACUGGCUCGUUCGCCUGUCAGGGAUGCUUAGGCUUUGGGUACUCACAGGACCCGUCUUGAAACACGGACCAAGGAGUCUAACAUGUACGCGAGUCAUUGGGUAUAUAUUUUCCUUCGGAAUUUAUAUAAAACAAACCUAAAGGCGAAAUGAAAGUAAAGGUUAAA